UGUUAUUUAAUGUAAUCAAAUUGUUUAAAAAUUAAACAUUUUAUGGUUUCUUUCCAUAAUUCGAUUACACUGUUUUAAAGAACAUUAAAAACUACAAAACUUUUAUUUGAAACAUUUUUUUAUAUCUUAUAUCCGCUCCGACGAUAUUAGCUCAGAAAUAAAAAAAAACCGAUUAUUUCAAGAGAGUAUUUUACCCCCUAAACGUCGAGAUACGCCGCUAAAAAAAUACGGGUCUAAUAUUUUUCAAUGCUCUACAACAUAUUCAAGGUUCAUUAAACCGUUAAUAACAUUAAAAUUAUUUCAAAGUAUUUACACACGCACACGGACACACACACUUAUGUAUUCAAUCACAACAAAUAAAACAUUACUUUGGAGUUUUGGAAAUAAUUGUUGCUUCUAUUUUAUGAUAUUGAUUGGAUGUUUCAUUGUGAGCAACUGUCAUAUUUAAUAUAUCGAUUUAAUAAAGAGAUUUAAUAAAAAAUGAAA